AAACCAAUUUCGAGUACAGAAGAGGAAUGAGGGAAAAAGGUUGUUCUCUUUUCUGUGAGUGAGUAUCCUAUGGAAGAGGAGGCAGUGUUCCCACUGUGAUGAGAAGGUGUAAUGGCUAGACAGCUGUAGGGACAGAUCUGAGAAUUUAAAAGCUUGCUGAAAUCCAGAAAGAUUUGAUAUUUCUUAGGGGGUGGGACGAGGAAGAAUGCUGUGUAGCAACCAAUCUUUUCUACCAAUUAUUUUAGUCUAAAUCUUUAUCCUGUGCAGUCUGAAUAGCUACCCUAUUUCAUAUCCAAUAGUAAUUCAAGGAAUAUUCUUUUUAGCAGAAUAAACAAAUUUUUUUCUGCUUGACAUGGAAAUGCUUGUACUAGUAAAUUUCACAGGCAGCUUAUUCUCCCCUCCCCCCAAUAUUGUUUUGUCUGAUUAUACAACCUUGAAAGUUUAAAAUUGACUGGUUUACUGUAAGAAGCAUUAAGUAAAUGCAAUCUCUCUGUUUUUAAUAACACUAGCUCAGAUUUCAUGUGAGAUCACACUAGUCCUCCAGUGUAAUUAAGUUUAUAGUUUUCUUAUGCACUUCAAAUGCCUGUGAUGUGCAGUUAAUAGUAUUUUUCAGACAAGUAUUAGGACACCUCGGCAGCGAUGCCAGUGUGGGCUGGUGUCUAUCAGCAGUGCAGACACCACAAAGUAAUGGAAAUUGCAAGACACACUGCUAUAAUUUAUCUAAAAAUAUGCGUGACAGCAAAGCUUUUUUUUUUUUACCUGAGCUGAGAAAGUGGUAAGGCUCUGAAUCAGAGUAAAGCUUCAUAAAUGAGUUGGGCAUGAAACAAGAUUUUCAAGUUUGGCUCGAAGUCCAGCAUUUAUCGAGUCUGAAGUAUGGCUGAAUAUCAGAGAUCUUCUGCAUCUUGGAUUUUGUAUCAUGACUGUACCAGAAAUCUCAUUUCUUCUUCAUAAAGUUUAACUUUAAGGUGAUAGAAGGCUGCAUAGGGAACUCUGGAGUAAAAGUGUUUAUCAAUUUUUCCUCAGAGAGUGUAUAUAUGUAUGUAC
ensembl:lncRNA